rnacentral:tRNA from 1 species
AGGGUUACGCCGGUCUGAACGGAAUUCAUUGAUGUUGAAUAUUAUGGGGUAUAUCUCCUGAUUCUU